AGCGCAGUCUAACCAAAAUUAUCUCUUUUUUUCAAUGCGUGAUAUAUAUGUGCUAAUAUAAUUAAAAUUUUAACUGAAUAGCAAAUGUUUUCUAAAUAAAUUCAAUAUUUACUGCAGAGGUCGCUCGAGAAAUUAUUCCUCGAGCUCUAUCGUGUAACAUCAUUUACGGGAUGCCAGACGCCAUUUUCACUCGCAUCGGCCACGUCCUAACUUCUCAUUGUAGGAGUAUCUUUCAUUUGGAUCUGUUAAUGCAGCUGCAACGAUCUUGCAGUAAUUGCAGCAUCAGUGGAUAAUCAGUGGAUAAUCGCGAAACAAAAUGCCUCUUAGAUUAGAUAUUAAACGGAAGCUGACAGCCAGAUCAGACAGAGUGAAGAGUGUGGAUCUUCAUCCAACCGAACCAUGGAUGCUAUGCUCCUUAUAUCAAGGCAAUGUAAAUAUCUGGAAUCAUGAGACACAAACCUUGGUAAAAACGUUCGAAGUAUGCGAUCUGCCAGUGCGGACAGCCAAGUUUGUACCACGCAAGAACUGGGUUAUCACUGGUUCUGAUGAUAUGCAAAUCAGAGUGUUUAAUUACAAUACCUUGGAGCGCGUUCAUGCAUUUGAAGCACACAGUGAUUAUGUCAGAUGUAUAGCAGUUCACCCAACACAACCAUUUAUUCUUACUAGCAGUGAUGACAUGUGGAUCAAAUUAUGGAACUGGGAGAAAUCCUGGACCUGUCAACAAGUAUUCGAGGGUCAUACACAUUAUGUUAUGCAAGUUGUGUUUAAUCCGAAAGAUAACAAUACUUUUGCCAGUGCAUCUCUUGAUAGAACUGUCAAAGUUUGGCAGCUUGGUUCGUCUACGGCUAAUUUCACAUUAGAGGGUCAUGAAAAAGGCGUAAACUGCGUGGAUUAUUACCACGGCGGGGAUAAGCCAUACCUGAUAUCAGGAGCUGACGAUAGAUAUGUCAAGAUAUGGGAUUAUCAAAAUAAAACCUGUGUGCAGACUUUGGAAGGUCAUACGCAAAAUAUUUCUGCUGUGUGUUUUCAUCCAGAAUUACCAAUUGUUCUUACUGCCUCGGAAGACGGUACCGUCAGAAUAUGGCAUGCCGGGACGUACAGAUUAGAGUCGUCUCUCAAUUAUGGUUUUGAGAGAGUAUGGACCAUCGCGUGCAUGCGCGGUUCGAAUAAUGUUGCCAUCGGUUACGACGAGGGUAGCGUCAUGGUGAAGGUUGGUAGAGAAGAACCGGCCGUUUCGAUGGAUUCACUGGGUGGAAAAAUUGUAUGGGCACGUCACAGCGAAAUCCAGCAGGUGAACUUGAAGGCGUUGGGCGAGGAGGCUCAAGACGGAGAGCGACUACCAUUAGCCGUCAAAGAUAUGGGUGCCUGUGAAAUUUAUCCGCAAACUAUACAGCAUAAUCCAAACGGCCGUUUUCUGGUGGUCUGCGGUGAUGGCGAAUACAUUAUAUAUACAUCUAUGGCGUUAAGGAACAAAGCGUUCGGACAAGCAUCAGAAUUUGUAUGGGCGGCGGAUUCGAGUCAGUACGCAGUACGAGAAAGCAAUACGACAGUGAAAGUCUUUAAAAAUUUCAAGGAGAAAAAGAGCUUUAAGCCAGAUUUUGGAGCAGAUGGCAUUUUUGGCGGAUUUUUACUUGGUGUAUCUUCUGGAUCCGGUCUCUCCUUCUUUGACUGGGAUAUGUUAAAGUUGAUUCGUCGCAUAGAUAUACAACCGACACAUGUAUAUUGGGCGGAAAACGCCUCGUUGGUGGCACUAGCUACAUCAGAUCAAUAUUUUAUAUUAAAAUAUCACGCAGAUGCUAUCGCUAAUGCUGGAGAAAAUGCUGAGGACAUUGAAAAUGCAUUCGAGAUGGUAGCAGAGAUGAGCGAAGUGGUAAAGACUGGUUUAUGGGUUGGCGACUGCUUUAUUUAUACUAACAGUGUCAAUCGCGUUAAUUACUUCGUCGGUGGUGAAGUUGUCACAGUUUCCCAUCUGGACAGACCAAUGUAUUUAUUGGGAUAUGUACCAAGAGACAAUAGAUUGUACCUAUGCGAUAAGGAACUAUCUGUCGUAUCGUAUUCUUUAUUAUUAUCAGUACUUGAGUAUCAGACUGCGGUCAUGCGGAAAGAUUUUGAGACCGCCAACAGAGUGUUGCCGACUGUCCCAAAGGAACAUCGUACACGAGUAGCUCACUUCUUAGAGAAGCAAGGUUUUAAAGAACAAGCCUUAGCGGUAUCGACAGAUCCCGAGCAUAGAUUUGAAUUAGCACUCGCGCUUGGAAAUCUCGUGACCGCGCACGCACUUGCCAAAGAAGCGAAUAGCCAGCAAAAGUGGCGGCAACUAGCUUCUCUCGCUACGCAAAAGGGAAAAUUGUGUCUGGCGCAAGAAUGUUUGCACCAAGCACAAGAUUUUGGCGGCUUGUUGCUACUAGCAACUAGUACGGGAAAUGCCAACAUGAUAAAGAAACUCGGCACGGUCGCGGACGACACAGGAAAAAACAAUAUCUCUUUCUUAUCGAACUUUAUACUAGGCGACGUGGACAAAUGUCUCGACAUCCUUAUCAAAACGGAUAGAAUUCCGGAAGCAGCAUUCUUCGCUAGGACAUAUGCGCCCAGUAAAAUCUCUUCCAUCAUCAAAUUGUGGAAAGAGAAGCUAUCGACAGUGAGCGAGAAAGCUGGACAGAGCUUGGCGGAUCCCGAACAGUACGAAAAUCUUUUCCCAGGGUACAAAGAAGCGUUGAAGGUGGAAAAGUUCUUGCGCGAAGAGAGCAAAAAGAAAAUACCAGCUUCUGCAUUUCCCACUGUUACGCCUAAUAUCGAACGAAAGCCGUUAGAGGAAAUGAUAGCCGCCGAGCAAUCGGGUGUGUUCCAGUAUAGGGACGGCAUGAGUAGCAUUUCUGAAACACAAACUGAAGCAACGAUCGACAGAUUGCAAGAUCUUUCAAUAUCGCCAAAGGACUUUUUAAGUAAAAUGACUACAUCCAGCGUGCAGUCAGUGAUAACCGAAAAAGCGACGACGAAGCCAACGAGUAAUUACAGGCCUCUCACAUUAGACGAUGAUGAACUGGACGAUGACUUAGGGAUCGAUGAUAAUAUUGAUACCACGGGUAUUAAUCUCGAUGAUGAUCCUUUUGACGAUGAAGAAGAUUAACUGUCGAGAUAGGAGGUGAAUAGCGUGUGCAUGUCACACAAGUAUCUUUCAUUCUCUUCCCGUCAAUCAUUCCCCACAAGAAGAAAAAAAAUAAGAAAAUGAUCGAUCUUAAAUUUGAAAAAGAACGAACUUUAUAUAUCCACAUUUCAUCAACUCUGGGAUAUUCGAUAAUCAGCUGUUUCACGUUAUGCGUUCCCAUUCCUUCUGAAUUUUUGGACAACUGAGAGUGCGUGCGUAAAAGCCGGAAUCAAAUCGAUACUCUCGUACGUGUCUCAAUGUGCCGAGAGAGAAAAAAAUAAAGAGGUGUAGUUAGCACGAGUUGUACGUGCCCAGUCCACACUCGCGCAAGAGGAAACGUGCGCACGUGUUGAGGCAAAAUAUACUCGUUAUUAACAUCAAUAGGAAAAGAAGGUUCGAAGACUCAAACUCAUCUGAAUAACCAGGACAAACAGCGCGAGUCGCUUUAUUUUUUUACGAGAAAAAAGAAAUGUGCUAUAUAGCAUAAUAUUUUUUUCUCUUUCUUCUGAUAAAUAUCGCAUUUUUUUUAUUCAAUCCUGUAAUUAAAUGCAAUAUCAGCCUGCGGUAAUACUUAAAUACAUGUAUUUUUACUUGUGUACAAAAUGUUAAGAACUUUUAAAUUUUUAUUAGAAAUUUAAAUUAAAUAUGCUGUGUGUAAAACAUAAAGUUAACGCAAUGUUUAUGAUUCUUCUGAUAUAGUUUCUAAAUGUGUUAUAUAAUUUUAAAAUAUGAUUUGUGUUAUUUUAAUAACGAUGGUAUAUAUCGAUUAUGUGCGAAAAACAAAUAAUGAUUCUCCUUUUUCAAUGAGUGUAUCAGAGUACAUUAGCAUCGAAUGCGUCUACGCUGAAACUUUGCAUUCGCAUGCAGAUCCGCGAGAACGACGCUGAGGUCGGCGUUCUCGAAUUCGACGCUCGUUCUCGCGAAACGCACGCACGAAUAAACUAAGCCGUGCAUUUGUCGCAUUGCGCGCCCGAUGCAACUCGGGUUUCCGACUGAUGUGAAAGGACGAUGAAAAAAAAAGAAACUGCGUGUGUGAUGAAUCAUCGCGGCUCGUUUGACGUCACAUCGAUACGCGCAAAUCAUUACGAAUGCGCCCGUUCAGUAUUUCGCAAUGAUAUAUGCAUGUUCUUUCAUCGAACGGGUAUAUCGAUCGCCUAUAUAAUUCCAAUAUAUAUUAUAUUGAUCAUAUGGUACAAGAUCCCACAUUUGCCUUUUUAAAUAUAUUGUGCAUGUAUAUUAUAUGUAUAUAGAAUUUAGAUUAAGAGAUUUUUAUGACACAUUACUUGCUUUUGAAAGAAGCAUCGUAUAUUACAAUUAUUAGACAUCUACAAUAAAAAGAUGAUACAAAAAUCUAACAAAUAUCUCAAUAUUUGAAGUAUAUAUGUAUAUAUACAUAAAUUAAAGAAAGAGAGUUACAAUUUGUAUACAUAUUUAUCGUAUCAUAAUAUGUUAUUUGUUAUUGUUUACUCGCAUACAAGUUUAUUUAAUCCAAUGAACACAAUCUAUACACUACUCGUUAUAACGUUGUUAUGUCAUUUAAAAUAUCUCGCGCUGUGUUGUUUACGACUUAGUUUAUUCGUGGGUAUAACAUCUUCAUAAUUUUGAAUAGAAUCGCCAAGUUAUUAAAUAAGAAUAAUUCCCGGGCGGUUUUUUUCAUUCCACCUAAUAAA